ACGGAGGGUGCAAGCGUUGCUCGGAAUCACUGGGCGUAAAGCGUACGCAGGCGGUCUAUUAAGUCGGGUGUGAAAGCCCGGGGCUCAACCCCGGAACUGCAUUCGAAACUGGUAGACUUGAGUACGGGAGAGGAAAGCGGAAUUCCUGGUGUAGAGGUGAAAUUCGUAGAUAUCAGGAGGAACACCUGUGGCGAAAGCGGCUUUCUGGCCCGAUACUGACGCUCAUGUACGAAAGCGUGGGGAGCAAACAGG
rnacentral:rRNA from 1 species